AUACUGAGGGUGCAAGCGUUAAUCGGAAUUACUGGGCGUAAAGCGCGCGUAGGCGGUUUAUCAAGUCAGAUGUGAAAGCCCUGGGCUCAACCUGGGAAUUGCAUUUGAAACUGAUAAACUAGAGUUUGGUAGAGGGUGACGGAAUUCCAGGUGUAGCGGUGAAAUGCGUAGAUAUCUGGAGGAACAUCAGUGGCGAAGGCGGUUGCCUGGACCAAAACUGACGCUGAGGUGCGAAAGCGUGGGGAGCAAACAGGAUUAGAAACCCUUGUAGUCC
rnacentral:rRNA from 1 species